rnacentral:rRNA from 1 species
UUUAAAUUGAGAGUUUGAUCCUGGCUCAGGAUGAACGCUGGUGGCGUGCCUAAUACAUGCAAGUCGUACGCUAGCCGCUGAAUUGAUCCUUCGGGUGAAGUGAGGCAAUGACUAGAGUGGCGAACUGGUGAGUAACACGUAAGAAACCUGCCCUUUAGUGGGGGAUAACAUUUGGAAACAGAUGCUAAUACCGCGUAACAACAAAUCACACAUGUGAUCUGUUUGAAAGGUCCUUUUGGAUCGCUAGAGGAUGGUCUUGCGGCGUAUUAGCUUGUUGGUAGGGUAGAAGCCUACCAAGGCAAUGAUGCGUAGCCGAGUUGAGAGACUGGCCGGCCACAUUGGGACUGAGACACUGCCCAAACUCCUACGGGAGGCUGCAGUAGGGAAUUUUCCGCAAUGCACGAAAGUGUGACGGAGCGACGCCGCGUGUGUGAUGAAGGCUUUCGGGUCGUAAAGCACUGUUGUAAGGGAAGAAUAACUGAAUUCAGAGAAAGUUUUCAGCUUGACGGUACCUUACCAGAAAGGG